rnacentral:rRNA from 1 species
AGAGUUUGAUCCUGGCUCAGGACGAACGCUGGCGGCGCGCUUAACACAUGCAAGUCGAGCGAGAACCGGCCCUUCGGGGCCGGGGACAGCGGCGAACGGGUGAGUAACACGUGAGUAAUCUGCCCUCGGCACCGGGAUAGCCCGGGGAAACCCGGAUUAAUACCGGAUGGCCUCUCGAGCCCUUGGGCUCGCGAGAAAAGGUAGCUUCGGCCUCCGGCCGAGGAUGAGCUCGCGGCGGAUUAGCUUGUUGGCGGGGUAACGGCCCGCCAAGGCGACGAUCCGUAGCUGGUCUGAGAGGAUGAUCAGCCACACUGGGACUGAGACACGGCCCAGACUCCUACGGGAGGCAGCAGUGGGGAAUCUUGCGCAAUGGGCGAAAGCCUGACGCAGCGACGCCGCGUGCGGGAAGAAGGCCUUCGGGUUGUAAACCGCUUUCAGGAGGGACGAAGCCACUCGGGUGAAUAGCCCAGAGGGUGACGGUACCUCCAGAAGAAGCCCCGGCUAACUACGUGCCAGCAGCCGCGGUAAUACGUAGGGGGCUAGCGUUGUCCGGAUUUAUUGGGCGUAAAGAGCGUGUAGGCGGCCAGGCAGGUCCGCUGUGAAAACUCGAGGCUUAACCUCGAGACGUCGGUGGAAACCGUCUGGCUAGAGUCCGGAAGAGGAGAGUGGAAUUCCCGGUGUAGCGGUGAAAUGCGCAGAUAUCGGGAAGAACACCCGUGGCGAAGGCGGCUCUCUGGGACGGUACUGACGCUGAGACGCGAAAGCGUGGGGAGCGAACAGGAUUAGAUACCCUGGUAGUCCACGCCGUAAACGAUGGGUGCUAGGUGUGGGCGGUGUCGACUCCGUCUGUGCCGAAGCUAACGCAUUAAGCACCCCGCCUGGGGAGUACGGCCGCAAGGCUAAAACUCAAAGGAAUUGACGG